GACGAACGCUGGCGGCGUGCUUAACACAUGCAAGUCGAGCGGUAAGGCCCUUUCGGGGGUACGACGAGCGGCGAACGGGUGAGUAACACGUGGGUGACCUGCCCUCAGCUCUGGGAUAAGCCUGGGAAACCGGGUCUAAUACUGGAUAUGACUCCAUGACGCAUGUUGUGGGGUGGAAAGCCUUGUGCGGCUGAGGAUGGGCCCGCGGCCUAUCAGCUUGUUGGUGGGGUGAGGCCUACCAAGCGACGACGGGUAGCCGGCCUGAGAGGGCGACCGGCCACACUGGGACUGAGACACGGCCCAGACUCCUACGGGAGGGCAGCAGUGGGGAAUCUUGCGCAAUGGGCGAAAGCCUGACGCAGCGACGCCGCGUGAGGGAUGACGGCCUCGGUUG
rnacentral:rRNA from 1 species